GUGCUCACUUUGGCAGCACAUAUACUAAAAUUGGAACAAUACAGAGAAGACAAGCAUGGCCUCUACAAAAGGAUGACACAAAUUUGUGAAGCAGUCCAUAUUUUU